UAUGCACAUGGGUAACAAGUGAAAAUGUAUCAUAGGUAUAUGCUUGAUGCUAACCUGUGCAAAUAUAUUUCAGUUAUGUAUGGUGGUAACCGUCGAAAAGAUAUUUCAGCUACAUAUGGUGGUAACCUGGGAGAAGAAAGAAGGUCCAGUUGCAUAUGGUGGUAAAGAGUGAAAAGACAAUUCAAUUAUGUAUGGUGGUAACCGUCGAAAAGAUAUUUCAGCUACAUAUGGUGGUAACCUGGGAGAAGAAAGAAGGUCCAGUUGCAUAUGGUGGUAAAGAGUGAAAAGACAAUUCAAUUAUGUAUGGUGGUAACCGUCGAAAAGAUAUUUCAGCUACAUAUGGUGGUAACCUGGGAGAAGAAAGAAGGUCCAGUUGCAUAUGGUGGUAAAGAGUGAAAAGACAAUUCAAUUAUGUAUGGUGGUAACCGUCGAAAAGAUAUUUCAGCUACAUAUGGUGGUAACCUGGGAGAAGAAAGAAGGUCCAGUUGCAUAUGGUGGUAAAGAGUGAAAAGACAAUUCAAUUAUGUAUGGUGGUAACCGUCGAAAAGAUAUUUCAGCUACAUAUGGUGGUAACCUGGGAGAAGAAAGAAGGUCCAGUUGCAUAUGGUGGUAAAGAGUGAAAAGACAAUUCAAGUAUGUAUGGUGGUAAUGGUAACCAGUGAAAAGGUAUUUUAUCUAUGUAUGGUAGUAGCAAGUGACAAUGUAUUUCAGUUAUGUACACGGAGAACUAGUGAAAAGAUAGUUCAGCUAUAUAUGGUGGUAAGCAGAGAGAAGAUGCUGCACUUAUGUACGGUGGUAGCAAGUGACAAAUUGUGUACAUGGGUGAGCAAUGAAGAAGACAGUUCAGCUACAUAUGGUGGUAAGCAGAGUGAAGAU
rnacentral:lncRNA from 1 species